rnacentral:rRNA from 1 species
AACGCGAAGAACCUUACCUGGGCUUGAACCGCACAGGACCAUCUUUGGAAACAGAGACUUCCCGCAAGGGACCUGUGUAGAGGUGCUGCAUGGCUGUCGUCAGCUCGUGCCGUGAGGUGUUGGGUUAAGUCCCGCAACGAGCGCAACCCUUACUCAUAGUUGCCACCCGCAAGGGGGAACUCUAUGAGGACUGCUCCGGAUAACGGAGAGGAAGGUGGGGAUGAGGUCAAGUCAGCAUGGCCUUUAUGUCCAGGGCUACACACGUGUUACAAUGCGCGCCACAAAGCGUUGCAAACCCGCGAGGGGGAGCUAAUCGCAAAAAAGCGCGCUCAGUUCGGAUUGCAGUCUGCAACUCGACUGCAUGAAGCCGGAAUCGCUAGUAAUGGCGCAUCAGAACGGCGCCGUGAAUACGUUCCCGGGCCUUGUA